rnacentral:rRNA from 1 species
CAGCCGCCACGGUAAUACGUAGGGUGCGAGCGUUAAUCGGAAUUACUGGGCGUAAAGCGUGCGCAGGCGGUUUUGUAAGACAGGCGUGAAAUCCCCGGGCUCAACCUGGGAAUGGCGCUUGUGACUGCAAAGCUAGAGUGCGGCAGAGGGGGAUGGAAUUCCGCGUGUAGCAGUGAAAUGCGUAGAUAUGCGGAGGAACACCGAUGGCGAAGGCAAUCCCCCGGGCCUGCACUGACGCUCAUGCACGAAAGCGUGGGGAGCAAACAGGAUUAGAUACCCGGGUAGUCCCUGUCUCUUAUAC